AUUGAACGCUGGCGGCAGGCUUAACACAUGCAAGUCGAGCGGAGAUGAGGUGCUUGCACCUUAUCUUAGCGGCGGACGGGUGAGUAAUGCUUAGGAAUCUGCCUAUUAGUGGGGGACAACAUUCCGAAAGGAAUGCUAAUACCGCAUACGUCCUACGGGAGAAAGCAGGGGAUCUUCGGACCUUGCGCUAAUAGAUGAGCCUAAGUCGGAUUAGCUAGUUGGUGGGGUAAAGGCCUACCAAGGCGACGAUCUGUAGCGGGUCUGAGAGGAUGAUCCGCCACACUGGGACUGAGACACGGCCCAGACUCCUACGGGAGGCAGCAGUGGGGAAUAUUGGACAAUGGGGGGAACCCUGAUCCAGCCAUGCCGCGUGUGUGAAGAAGGCCUUAUGGUUGUAAAGCACUUUAAGCGAGGAGGAGGCUACUGAGACUAAUACUACUGGAUAGUGGACGUUACUCGCAGAAUAAGCACCGGCUAACUCUGUGCCAGCAGCCGCCGUAAAAC
rnacentral:rRNA from 1 species